CAUCCUCUGCUGUGUGCGACAGCGUCAAAACAUUCGCCUUGUCCCUUAAUGACGACUACGGGGCAUCAACGGAAGCCGGGAGCGCAAGUCCGCCUCGCAGCGGGAAGCCCGAUGGCCCCCAAGGUGUCCCACUUGAACCCCGGGUUCAAGGUCGUUUCGAAGCAUCGCCAUUGGCGGAGGAUGU
rnacentral:other from 2 species